CACUUGAGCCCAAUUGAUUAUCAUCAUUACACAUGCAUAAUGAUGUGAAAAAAUAAAACUUUAAAUGCUACAAAAUCAUACUACAGUCUAAGAGAAGUAUUGUUUUAAAUUCGAUUGAGCUAAUGACAUGAGAACAAAGCUGUACAGCAUUCGAACUAAAUUCGGUCCCAAGUUGACUUAUAAAUAAUUGUAUGAAAUUUAAGCCUCAAUAAAAAACUCUUUAAUACAAACAAUAGCAAAAAUCCCACGAGAUUAACAUGUAACUACCCUGAAUCUAAAAAAUCACAUCAACUUUCAACAGAAUUAGACGAAGACCAGAAGCAAUUCCCCUUAUACCACAUCAACAACAUGAAAAGGCAAAUAGAAUACACAUGAGAUUAAACUAUUACAAUAUAUUAAUGAAAUGGAAGAACAUGGAAGUAAGAUUCAAUAAAACAACUUGUAUUCAUCAUGUAUCCACAUUCGAAUUGCAUGUUUACACUUUACAUGCUAUCCAUAGCUCAAGAAAUUCCUGAAAGUCAAGAGAAAAACAAAGAGAGUGGGGGAUUUAGCAACAACAAUAGAUCAGCAACUUCAGCACCAAUUUUCAGCCCAUUUUUAGAUCAUUUUAAACCCAGAUGAGCAAAAGUUCUUUGAAGCUUUCAAAUUCUACCUAACGAUCAAGAUUAAAAAGAAAAUCCAAAGCUAGUUUUCACCAAAAGAUGCAUGAAAUUUUCUAAGUAUUUUCAGAGUCCAAAGCUCAGCAUUUUCUCAGUUUUUCAGUAUAUGUCAUCUCUGUAUUCUACUGAAAGCAGACCUUAUAUAGAUGACCUUAGAGCAACAAAAAUGAUUUUACCAAUUAUCAAUUUCCCCCUUUCCCAAUUUUCAUUUUUUCACUUUUAACCCUAAUUUUCUAGCAUGUUUGUUAAACUAAACAGAACCUCACCUUCCUGGAAGUUUCCCAGGAAGUUUGUGAAAGAUUCCCCUGCCCAAUUUUCCUAAACUAACCUUUGAACCCCUCUCAAUUGCCUUCAACACCAACCGGGCUCGAAACCCUUUUAACAAACUGAAAAUCCCAAAAAAAAACCACAACCCCUUGGGCUUAAUGUUGAUGGGCCUGUCUGCGUGCAAGGCAGGUCCCAAACCAAACGGAGCCCAAAUUAAAAAUCAACUUCUGUAAGAAGAAGAAAGAGAACAAAACAACGAUAAUUCUGACUAAAUGAAUCCAGAUAUAUUAACUCGUAUAGCCCUAAGAAAUGUAACAAAACUAAAACAAAAAAAUUAGAACCAAUUAUUGAAGAAAUAUACUGAUUUAAGGCCUAACAAAACUAAACUCUAUUACGAUGCCUAAUUAGACAGACUAAAUGACUUUUGAGAUAAAACGCAAAGAAAAGAAAACUAAGAUUCUUCAUUUUUUAAAGUAAAGGAGAAGAAGAUAAAGAAAAGAAGGGGAACAGAUAAAUAGUAAAGGGACCAAGAGAGAUAGAAAUACCUAAAACCUGGUGGAUGGACGACUUAGGCUAGGCAAACUUCGAUUUUUUCGAUUUGAACCAAAAUGAGUGCUAAUCGACUGUUCGUGUGAGAACAAUCGACUAACACUCGUUUCAGGCCCAAAUUGUCUUCAAAGAUGGGAGAACAUGGACUCAAGCCCUUGAAUGAUGAGUUAAGGACGGGAAUGGAUUUAGGGUUUCAUUUUUAGAUCUGAAAUUAAAGGCGACUGGUGAAGAUUUUGGGGAAAUUGACACUGGCAUGGUGUUUUAAGGGAUUAUGAGGAGUAUGUGGUUAAAUUUUGGUGGGAUUUGGAGCUUCAACACCGCCGGUGGCGAAAUCCGGCGGGUGGCAGGCGGUGGGUGAGAGAC
rnacentral:lncRNA from 1 species